rnacentral:tRNA from 3 species
CGCGGGAUGGAGCAGUUUGGUAGCUCGUCGGGCUCAUAACCCGAAGGUCGGAGGUUCAAAUCCUUCUCCCGCUACCA